CCUACGGGUGGCAGCAGUAGGGAAUAUUGCUCAAUGGGGGAAACCCUGAAGCAGCAACGCCGCGUGGAGGAUGAAGGUUUUCGGAUUGUAAACUCCUUUUGUUAGAGAAGAUAAUGACGGUAUCUAACGAAUAAGCACCGGCCAACUCCGUGCCAGCAGCCGCGGUAAUACGGAGGGUGCAAGCGUUACUCGGAAUCACUGGGCGUAAAGAGCGCGUAGGCGGGAUAGCAAGUCAGAGGUGAAAUCCUAUGGCUUAACCAUAGAACUGCAUUUGAAACUGUUAUUCUAGAGUAUGGGAGAGGUAGGUGGAAUUCUUGGUGUAGGGGUAAAAUCCGUAGAGAUCAAGAGGAAUACUCAUUGCGAAGGCGACCUGCUGGAACAUAACUGACGCUGAUGCGCGAAAGCGUGGGGAGCAAACAGGAUUAGAUACCCCAGUAGUC
rnacentral:rRNA from 1 species